rnacentral:lncRNA from 1 species
CUGGAGAUGAUAGAGUGAAAAGGUUGUAAGCCGAGCGAAACUAAUGUACUUGAAGGAAUUCUCAUAGUAUACCUACCUGGGUGCUGGGGGCUGGGGGGUCCAGAGUCCUUUCUCACAUAUUUAGAGCCGCUGAGAGAAACACAACCCGAAACAAGCAAAAUUAUGCCUACACCCCAAUAUGUUCACAAUUGCAAGCUCCUUUGCUCUCGCAUUCAAGUUGAUAGCAUCAUUCCAGAAACAUUAAUAAUUCAGAGUGGCGGCAGGAUCAGUUCGCAAAUAGCCAAAUACAUUUCAAAAUUCAGACUACCAACAAAAUGAUGCUUGCAGUUAUUCUAGUACCCCAGAAGACCCUCAGUUGCUACAAACAAAUUUCUGUUACGAAUCUCUUUGUUGAUAUAUUUGCUCGCUAAUAAAAUGGCAACAAUCUAUUUUCAAAAAAUUCGGUAAGACCACAAUCAGUUAAGGUAUUCACGCAUAAGAUUAAUAAGCUGGUGCUAACUAUUAUGACUAGGAUGUCUCCAAUUUUCUGAUAGUUAUUGUAUUACUCUAUCAGUGUACUCGAGUCUUUUUUACUAUUGUCAGUUCAUUCAGCAUGGACACAAAGGGAUGCAGUAGCAAAUAGUUCAAGGCUUCAGGCAGGGCUAAAUUAAAGAUGUUGGUGGCACAAUUAGGCAAAUGCUACAAACAUAGAGUUGAACGGGUCGGUUACUCACUAUUUUUCAUAGUCAAGAGCCUACCUGCCAUCUAAAAAGCAGCUACCUCUAUGAUUUAACUUGAACAUAGUAUCUGUGACACUAAGUCACCUGUUCUACAUAUGCAACUCUGCCAACUGUAAAGACAGCCAAGAUCAAGAAAUAAUCAUAGAAUUAAAUGCAUACCAAACAACAUAUCUAUCAAAUCAACUGCAGAAACAAAAUGGAGUUGCAACAGUGUUUGUAUCAAAUACGAAGAUUGCCUAUAAAAUUUAACCCGAAGCAACAAACAAAUUUUUUCGAACAUAGGCUGCCUUUAAGGCAUGCAGUUGAUGGUAAAUAAAAAUGAAGUAAAAGCAUAACUACAUUGAGUGUUAAUUUACAAGGAGAACCUAAAGGUGCAACUGUGGAACUGCUGGUUCAAUUAUUCAUGACAGAUGAGAGGAAGUUACUCACAUAGAUCAGAAAGGAACAGUGGAAAAGUACCUCCAAAUGACUGUAAUUGUCAAGUUUCUGUCAAGCAAUAUAAUUUAAAAUUCAGAAAUCAUAAGAAAGUAUGGGUUUUGGUAAUAAAUUUUGAAUAGCAACGCCAAACUCUGUAAAAAUUAGUAUUUUCAGGGACCAAUGAUAGUGCAAGAAAUUAUCGAAUUGAACAAACAAUUUUUUUUAAAGUAAGAAGUGGCUAGUUUGGGGAUUAAUUCUUUUCUCUGAUUAUAUCCAACAUAAACCUAAGCUGGUAUACCAUGUGUCACAUGAUAAAAGAGCAUAUUGGUACAGAGAAAUUUGCUUCAAGAUAAGCGCAUCGAGAAUGUAAAAUGGAC